rnacentral:lncRNA from 1 species
CUAAUUGUUUUUUAAUUUAUAUAUUAAAAAAUUUCUUAUAUAAUCGUAAAAGAAAUAUUAUUAAUUUUAAAAUAUUGAAUUAAUUAUCACUACAGUUUAGGGUUUUCAAUUUAGGGUAUAUGAUUUUAUUUAAAGAUUUAAGGUCAGUUUAAGAGUUCAUAUUUUAAGGUUUUAUGGAGUAUAUAUGGAUUAAUUAGGGAUUAUGGAUUAGGGAUUAUGGUUUAAUUAAGGGUUGGGAUUUA